CACGUAGGAGGCGAGCGUUGUCCGGAAUCAUUGGGCGUAAAGAGCGCGCAGGCGGCUUGGCAAGUCGGGUGUGAAAUCCCGGGGCUCAACCCCGGGACUGCAUUCGAUACUGUCAGACUAGAGGUAGGUAGGGGAGAUCGGAAUUCCUGGUGUAGCGGUGAAAUGCGCAGAUAUCAGGAGGAACACCGGUGGCGAAGGCGGAUCUCUGGGCCUUACCUGACGCUCAGGCGCGAAAGCUAGGGGAGCGAACAGG
rnacentral:rRNA from 1 species